GGGAAAUUUGAAAGGGAAAGCUCAAAGAGGACAAUAUCUACUAGUGGUGGGUUUGAGCUGUUACAUAGUCGGUUUUUUCCAACCUCUACUACUGCGCCUUCUUUUUUUUUCUUUUUUAAUUUAUAAAUAUACCUGUAUAUUAAUGGUUCCAAUGCCCAAGCUUGGCCUAUUUAAGCCUUUUACUUGCUCAUUUGUGGCUAUCAAAAAGUGAUCUUUAUAUGGGUUGUCGUCUUGUUGAACAAUAUGAAUAUUUACACCU